UACAUGGGGUGCAAACGUUGCUCGGAAUUAUUGGGCGUAAAGCGCGCGUAGGUGGUUACCUAAGUCGGAUGUGAAAGCCCUCGGCUUAACUGAGGAAGUGCACCCGAAACUGGGUAGCUAGAGUACUAAAGAGGGUCGCGGAAUUCCCGGUGUAGAGGUGAAAUUCGUAGAUAUCGGGAGGAACACCGGUGGCGAAGGCGGCGACCUGGGUAGAUACUGACACUGAGGAGCGAAAGCGUGGGGAGCGAACAGG
rnacentral:rRNA from 1 species